rnacentral:tRNA from 6 species
GCGGUCGUAGCUCAACUGGAUAGUAGCACUCCCCUGUCACGGGAGAGGUUGCGGGUUCGAAUCCCGUCGACCGCG